rnacentral:misc_RNA from 1 species
AAGACUAUAGACCUGCGGAGUACCUGCGGAAGGAUCAUUACAAGUGACCCCGGUCUAACCACCGGGAUGUUCAUAACCCUUUGUUGUCCGACUCUGUUGCCUCCGGGGCGACCCUGCCUUCGGGCGGGGGCUCCGGGUGGACACUUCAAACUCUUGCGUAACUUUGCAGUCUGAGUAAACUUAAUUAAUAAAUUAAAACUUUCAACAACGGAUCUCU